rnacentral:rRNA from 1 species
AAUCCAUAGGUUAAUGAGGCGAACCGGGGGAACUGAAACAUCUAAGUACCCCGAGGAAAAGAAAUCAACCGAGAUUCCCCCAGUAGCGGCGAGCGAACGGGGAGGAGCCCAGAGCCUGAAUCAGCAUGUGUGUUAGUGGAAGCGUCUGGAAAGGCGCGCGAUACAGGGUGACAGCCCCGUACACAAAAGCGCAUGUGCUGUGAGCUCGAUGAGUAGGGCGGGACACGUGGUAUCCUGUCUGAAUAUGGGGGGACCAUCCUCCAAGGCUAAAUACUCCUGACUGACCGAUAGUGAACCAGUACCGUGAGGGAAAGGCGAAAAGAACCCCGGCGAGGGGAGUGAAAAAGAACCUGAAACCGUGUACGUACAAGCAGUGGGAGCCCCACCACUAAGCCAGUGGUGAACUCCACAUACGCAUCCUUUGCUGAGGAUACGGUUAACGGAGCGAAAGCGACGUUCAACCGCAAAAGAAGCAGAGGGGGCUUAGUGGUGGGGUGACUGCGUACCUUUUGUAUAAUGGGUCAGCGACUUAUAUUCUGUAGCAAGGUUAACCGUAUAGGGGAGCCGCAGGGAAACCGAGUCUUAAUUGGGCGUUAAGUUGCAGGGUAUAGACCCGAAACCCGGUGAUCUAGCCAUGGGCAGGUUGAAGGUUGGGUAACACUAACUGGAGGACCGAACCGACUAAUGUUGAAAAAUUAGCGGAUGACCUGUGGCUGGGGGUGAAAGGCCAAUCAAACCGGGAGAUAGCUGGUUCUCCCCGAAAGCUAUUUAGGUAGCGCCUCGUGAAUUCAUCUCCGGGGGUAGAGCACUGUUUCGGCUAGGGGGCCAUCCCGGCUUACCAACCCGAUGCAAACUGCGAAUACCGGAGAAUGUUAUCACGGGAGACACACGGCGGGUGCUAACGUCCGUCGUGAAGAGGGAAACAACCCAGACCGCCAGCUAAGGUCCCAAAGUCAUGGUUAAGUGGGAAACGAUGUGGGAAGGCCCAGACAGCCAGGAUGUUGGCUUAGAAGCAGCCAUCAUUUAAAGAAAGCGUAAUAGCUCACUGGUCGAGUCGGCCUGCGCGGAAGAUGUAACGGGGCUAAACCAUGCACCGAAGCUGCGGCAGCGACACUGUGUGUUGUUGGGUAGGGGAGCGUUCUGUAAGCCUGCGAAGGUGGCCUGUGAGGGUUGCUGGAGGUAUCAGAAGUGCGAAUGCUGACAUAAGUAACGAUAAAGCGGGUGAAAAGCCCGCUCGCCGGAAGACCAAGGGUUCCUGUCCAACGUUAAUCGGGGCAGGGUGAGUCGACCCCUAAGGCGAGGCCGAAAGGCGUAGUCGAUGGGAAACGGGUUAAUAUUCCCGUACUUGGUGUUACUGCGAAGGGGGGACGGAGAAGGCUAUGUUGGCCGGGCGACGGUUGUCCCGGUUUAAGCGUGUAGGUGUGUGUUCCAGGUAAAUCCGGUU